rnacentral:lncRNA from 13 species
CCGCGACUUGUCAGCUGACGGAGGACGGAGGAUAGAGCACGGAGCGCUUUGCUUCUCAUAAUUAUACUCCGUGUGAUCGUUAACAUCGUUGUCGAUUAUUAUUGAUACGCAAUUUACUGGUUAUUAUUCACAAUAGGUCGUUACUGCAUUUUGUGUUACAAUCAUGAUGAAGCAGUCUCUUAUCACCGAAUUCCCACAAAUGUAGAAUUGAGAGCGAAGUGGGCUGAGUUUUGUCGAUUGAAGGAAGCUGAGAUAAAAGAUUCCUUUUGUUUAUGCUCGAACCAUUUCAUUGCUGAUGAUUUUCUUUCUACAACAUCAAGAAAUAAAUUAUUAAAAAGGAGAGUCAUACCGACAGUUUUCACCGUUAAAAGAAGGAAAAGAUGUUUAAAUAGCAAUGAAACAUCUGCAAAGGGAUCUGAUGCAACAAGUAAUACAACUGGGGAGAGUUCCGAUAGCGUAUAUCCCGAUAGCCCACCAACCAAUCAUCUUGACUUAUCUAACCCAACCUACGGAAAAUUUCUAGGCAUCUGCCAUUGUGAGUGGUUUGUGUGCUAUCGGGAUGUGCGCUAUCGGGACAACCGCCGAUACAACUGUACUCAUGUCCAGUGAAAGAGAACUAGUCACAUAUAAAAAUAUCAUAGAAGAUUCCUUAAAAAAUAAUGUUGAUGUCAGUGAACGAGAACUAAUUUCAGACAAAAAUAUCAUUAAGGAUGUAUGGAGAAAUAAUAUGGAUAUUGA